UACGGAGGGUGCGAGCGUUGUCCGGAAUCAUUGGGCGUAAAGGGCGCGUAGGUGGCCCGGUCAGUUCGUGGUGAAAGCGCGGGGCUCAACCCUGCGUCGGCCAUGAAUACUGCCGCGGCUGGAGCACUGUAGAGGCAGGCGGAAUUCCGGGUGUAGCGGUGGAAUGCGUAGAGAUCCGGAAGAACACCGGUGGCGAAGGCGGCCUGGCUGGGCCAGUUGCUGGACACUGAGGCGCGACAGCGUGGGGAGCAAACAGG
rnacentral:rRNA from 1 species